CGUGUCACAUGGACAUGAUAUAAUGAAAAGGCAGGAACAGUGAGCCAGAGUGCGCUGAGCUCUUGGCUGAUGGAGAAAGGAGCAGAAAUGUAGCUGCGCAGUCAUCUGCCGACAGGGGAGAGGGCCAGCCGGGCCGAGCCCAGCCGAGCCCGGCCGAUCCUGACCGGGGCGGGCCGAGUCGGACUCACUGCGCCUCAUCGGACGGGACCUUUGCGUCCGCAGUUGCACCUGCCAGCUAUAACAUACACUUUAUAAAGGGGGACAUGUCGCCGGGCUUCGCGCGUAUGUCGGCUCAGUCCCGGAGCAGAAGAGGAGCGCCUCUCAGCUCUGCUGGAUGUAAAUGUAUGCUGCAGAUACCUUUGGGCUUCACAUCAGUAAGCGGGAUUGGAAUAAUUCCUUGCUGGGGAAAAAAGGUCUGAAUCUUUCUCUUUCUAUGUGUGUGUGUGUUUGUACUUUGAAUUCCUUGCAAUCAUGUUUCCGAUUCAGGGAAAUUCAGAUUACACAUUU
ensembl:lncRNA